rnacentral:lncRNA from 1 species
GGGUUCCAUGCUUCCUGGGAGAGUCCUAUCAAUAAGGUUUUGCAAGAGCCCAUCCAGUGUCAAUUCUGCCUUUCUCAUUUCCUUUGGUGCUGUUUUGUGGGGUACAAUCAGGGGACAAAGGCUUGUUUUUAUAGUUACUGAAAAGGUAGGUAUUUUGAGGAGCUAGCUCUCCUGUAUUAGGACCUUGUUGAUGCUAAAACAAGAGCCUUCUUUGAGUUCUGUGUGCCUGAAACCUGGGCAAGAGGUAGAGGAACAGGGCUAAAAUUUUAAAAGCUAAGCCAAUUCCCCACUCUGUUCCUUCCCCUCCCUCUCUUCUCCACAGACCUAUUCCACACAAAUUGUACUGACUUCCCCUUGGCUCCCUCUGGCACAAGGUCAGGGAAGGUUCAUGAAAGACUCUCCCUUAGCCAGAGGCUCCCAAACUCCUAUUCAAGCCAACUUAUUCUUACCACUUAGCCUGAGCUCAUGUCUUGGGUCCCACCCUAGUCCAACUAUGCACUCCCCAUUCUCUCUUCCCUGCUUCUCUGUGGCAGAGCCAACUCAACUUCGUUGGUACCUCUGAGACUUGUUAAAUUAUUAAAUCCAGCCCCCACAAAAUGGGAGGCUUAUCCUUCCUCACCUGGAGAGAUAGAUGUGUGUUCCAGAGUUGUGCCACAGAGAUUCUUCAGGGCCCAAUUCCAGGCAACCUUACCUAUGUUAGUUUGUGCCUGUGUGUGUGUGUAUGUGUGCAUGCACAUACACAGACACACACACACACAAAAACCCUUUUUUGUUGUUGUUGGGUGGUAGAAAUGCAUACCUGUAAUAUCAGCUAGUUGGAGACUUAGGCAGGAGGAUUGAAGGUUUGAGACCAGCUUGGACAACUUAAACCCUGUUUCAAAAUAUUAGCUGGGACAGGCAUGGUGGCGCACACCUAUAAUCCUGGAGCUUGAGGCAGGAGGAUCACAAAUUCAAGGCCAGACUCAAGAACUUAGGGAGGCCCUAAGCAAUUUAGCUCUUAAAUAAAUAGACCCUCUAAAAAUAAAAAAUAAAAAGGGCUGAGGAUAUGACUCAGCACUCUUGGGUUCAAUUCAAAUUUUUUUUUUUUUUUAAAGCUGGGUGCAAUGGCAUAUUCCUGUAAUCCCAACACUUUGGGAGGCUGACACAGGAGGUUUGCAAGUUUGAGACUAGCCUUGGCAACUUAGUGAGAUCUGGAUUCAAAAUUAAAAAAUGAAAAGAACUGGGAAUGUAGCUUAGUGGUAGAUCAUCCCUAUUACUCAAAUAAAAGUGGGAGGGGAACUAGGGGUGUAGUAGUUCAGUGGUGGAGUGCUUGCCUAGCAUGCAUGAGGCCCUGAGUUCAAUCCCCAGUACUAAAAAAUAAUAAUAAUAUAAACAUUCAUGUGCCUGAGACACUGCCUGCCCUAGACCUCUGGCACAUGGGC